AUUGAACGCUGGCGGCAUGCUUUACACAUGCAAGUCGAACGGUAACAGGCCUUCGGGUGCUGACGAGUGGCGAACGGGUGAGUAAUGCAUCGGAACGUGCCCAAUCGUGGGGGAUAACGCAGCGAAAGUUGCGCUAAUACCGCAUAAGCCCUGAGGGGGAAAGCGGGGGACCGAAAGGCCUCGUGCGAAUGGAGCGGCCGAUGUCAGAUUAGCUAGUUGGUGGGGUAAAGGCUCACCAAGGCGACGAUCUGUAGCGGGUCUGAGAGGAUGAUCCGCCACACUGGAACUGAGACACGGCCCAGACUCCUACGGGAGGCAGCAGUGGGGAAUUUUGGACAAUGGGCGCAAGCCUGAUCCAGCCAUGCCGCGUGCGGGACGAAGGCCUCGG
rnacentral:rRNA from 1 species